rnacentral:rRNA from 1 species
UGGGGGAUAUUGCACAAUGGGCGAAAGCCUGAUGCAGCGACGCCGCGUGGGGGAUGAAGGCCUUCGGGUUGUAAACUUCUUUUGCUCUGAACAAGGCAUGCUAAUGGGUGUGUUGAGUGUAGGGGUUGAUUAGCGCCGGCUAACUACGUGCCAGCAGCCGCGGUAAUACGUAGGGCGCGAGCGUUGUCCGGAAUUAUUGGGCGUAAAGGGCUUGUAGGUGGCUGGUUGCGUCUGUCGUGAAAGCUCAUGGCUUAACUGUGGGUUUGCGGUGGGUACGGGCUGGCUUGAGUGCAGUAGGGGAGACUGGAAUGCCUGGUGUAGCGGUGGAAUGCGCAGAUAUCAGGAGGAAUACCGGUGGAGAAGGCGGGUCUCUGGGCUGUUACUGACACUGAGGAGCGAAAGCAUGGGGAGCGAACAGG